UACAGAGGGUGCGAGCGUUGUUCGGAAUUAUUGGGCGUAAAGGGCGCGUAGGCGGCGCGGUAAGUCACCUGUGAAAUCUCCUGGCUCAACUGGGAGCUUGCAGGCGAAACUGCCGUGCUGGAGUGUGGGAGAGGUGCGUGGAAUUCCUGGUGUAGCGGUGAAAUGCGUAGAUAUCAGGAGGAACACCUGUGGCGAAAGCGGCGCACUGGACCACAACUGACGCUGAGGCGCGAAAGCUAGGGGAGCAAACAGG
rnacentral:rRNA from 1 species